rnacentral:tRNA from 1 species
GCGCCUGUAGCUCAGCUGGAUAGAGUACUCGGCUACGAACCGAGCGGUCGGAGGUUCGAAUCCUUCCAGGCGCACCA